AAAAAAAAAAAAAAAAAAAAAAAGUAGCCUUGUGUAAUAUGGCCUUUAUAGUUAUCUUUUCUUUUUUUUUUUUUCUUGAGGUGGAGUGUUGCUCUGUCUCCCAGGCUGGAGUGCUGUGGUGUGAUCUCGACUCACUGCAAGCUCCGCCUCCUGGGUUCACGCCAUUCUCCUGCCUCAGCCUCCCGAGUAGCUGGGACUACAGGUGCCCACCACCAUGCCCAGCUAAUAUUUUUUGUAUUUUUAGUAGAGACGGGGUUUCACCGUGUUAGCCAGGAUGGUCUUGAUCUCCUGACCUCGUGAUCUGCCCGCCUCGGCCUCCCGAAGUGUUGGGAUUACAGGCAUGAGCCACUGCGCCCGGCCAUAUCUUUUCUUUUUAAAGUAUUUAGGUAGAUUUGAUGACAAGGAAAAAUAUUCACAUGUAUUAGUGAAAACAAACAUAUACAACAUACACACUAUGUAGUUUGAAGUUUGAAAAUAUAUGCAUCGAAAUAUUAACAAUGGUUAUCUGUGGGUGGUAGGAAUCUUGAGUAAUUUUACUUUCGUAUAUGUAUAUUUCUAGAUAGUCUAAAUUUUGUACAAUGCAUAUGUAUUUUUUUAAUGUUUUUUAUUAAGUAUACGAUACCUGCAAAAAUAAGCAAACACUCAUGUAGGCUUCACCCAACUUAAAAGUAUUCAAUGUCUCCUAUUCAUCCUUUAUUGAUGAAACAGUUCACUUACCAUUCCACUGUUGAUAGACAUCUGGGUUAUUUUCAGUUUUUGUUUUUGCUAUUACCUAUAAUUCUGCCUUGCACAUUCCUGUAUAUUUCUCCUUUGGUGUAUAUGAACAAGAGUUACUAUUUCUUUAUUUACUGCUAAGGAGUGAAAUUUCUGGGUGAAAGCAUAUGUUAUUUUCAACUGUAUUGAGUAAUAUAAAAUUGUUUUUCUAAAAUGCUUGUACCAAUUUCAAUGACCUUUAGCAAUUCAUAAAUUUUUAUUGCUCCAUAAGCUUACUAAUCCUCAUCAAUAUUUAAUGUCAAUCAGAUAGGUGUGAAAUGGCAUUUUGCCAAAGUUUUAAUUUGAAUUUCCCUUAUUACUAGUUUGAGCAUUUUUUCAUGUAACUUGCAUUAGGGUUCUCCUGAGGGACAGAACCAAUAAGAUUCACGCAUCUAUUUCAUAUAUGUAUAUAUACAUGUGUGGGUUCAAUGCAGGCUGACAGAGUGGAGAUUUGGACACAGGCUGCAUGAACGAGCAGACUGCCACUAAGGUGGCCUAAAUUUAUGUCCACUUUUGUCCCAUAGCCCAAGUUUGGGCAUCUUGCCCCUGCUUUGCCCUCUAGUAUCUGACCUUGGUUUGCUCCUCUUUUUUACUGUACAGAGCUCAAAAUGUUGAAAAUAUAGAUCUGAAUCUCAAGCGAGAGAUAAGAGCUAAAGUUGUGGAUCUGGUAAUCAUUGGUGCUGCCUCCUCCUUCCCUUCCUAAUCCCCAUUGUAAUCUGUAAAAUUUACAGUUCCAUUUAGCUGUGGCUAUUCCUCUCUUGUAGUUUACAAUCUAGAGGAAAUAAAACUAUUUACUGGUUCAUUCUUGUUGUCACAAAAAGUGUAACAGCUAAGAGAUUUCUUCACUACAAAAAUAUUUUCAGGCCCCAGUUAGUUCAUAUUAUAACGAUGUGCACAGACCCAUGAGUGAACUUCAGCCUUACCACAUGCUAGCAAUAUAGCCUUUGACAAAUUAAGCUUUCAGAUUUUUUUUGUAUGUGCAAUGAGAGUAAUAAUUUCUGUCUCUUGGGGUUUUUAUGAGGAUUAGGUGAAGGUAGUAACUUGUUUACUAUAGUGAUACUCAUUCACUGUAACCAUAAUUACAUUUAAAGAAUGAUUUAAUGCAAAAUAUUUAAAUGCAGUAAUAUUAGAAGGUAUAUAUAGCUUGAGGUCCAGUAUUCCCAGAGUUAGUUAGAGGUUAUUUUCGAGAAUAAGCUAAGCAGCACAUUAUAUAUUUAUUAAGAAUUGUCUGGGUGGACUUUCUUUUAUUGUGAUAAAAC
rnacentral:lncRNA from 1 species